GGGUUGUGAGGUUAAGCGACUAAGCGUACACGGUGGAUGCCCUGGCAGUCAGAGGCGAUGAAGGACGUGCUAAUCUGCGAAAAGCGUCGGUAAGGUGAUAUGAACCGUUAUAGCCGGCGAUGUCCGAAUGGGGAAACCCAGUGCAAUUCGUUGCACUAUCGUUAACUGAAUACAUAGGUUAACGAGGCGAACCGGGGGAACUGAAACAUCUAAGUACCCCGAGGAAAAGAAAUCAACCGAGAUUCCCCCAGUAGCGGCGAGCGAACGGGGAGCAGCCCGGAGUCUGAAUCAGCUUGUGUGUUAGUGGAAGCGUCUGGAAAGUCGCAGGGUACAGGGUGAUACUCCCGUACACUAAAACACACAGGUUGUGAACUCGAAGAGUAGGGCGGGACACGUGGUAUCCUGUCUGAAUAUGGGGGGACCAUCCUCCAAGGCUAAAUACUCCUGACUGACCGAUAGUGAACCAGUACCGUGAGGGAAAGGCGAAAAGAACCCCGGCGAGGGGAGUGAAAAAGAACCUGAAACCGUGUACGUACAAGCAGUAGGAGCCCACUAGUUGGGUGACUGCGUACCUUUUGUAUAAUGGGUCAGCGACUUAUAUUCUGUAGCAAGGUUAACCGUAUAGGGGAGCCGCAGGGAAACCGAGUCUUAACUGGGCGUUAAGUUGCAGGGUAUAGACCCGAAACCCGGUGAUCUAGCCAUGGGCAGGUUGAAGGUUGGGUAACACUAACUGGAGGACCGAACCGACUAAUGUUGAAAAAUUAGCGGAUGACUUGUGGCUGGGGGUGAAAGGCCAAUCAAACCGGGAGAUAGCUGGUUCUCCCCGAAAGCUAUUUAGGUAGCGCCUCGUGAACUCAUCUUCGGGGGUAGAGCACUGUUUCGGCUAGGGGGUCAUCCCGACUUACCAACCCGAUGCAAACUACGAAUACCGAAGAAUGUUAUCACGGGAGACACACGGCGGGUGCUAACGUCCGUCGUGAAGAGGGAAACAACCCAGACCGCCAGCUAAGGUCCCAAAGUCAUGGUUAAGUGGGAAACGAUGUGGGAAGGCCCAGACAGCCAGGAUGUUGGCUUAGAAGCAGCCAUCAUUUAAAGAAAGCGUAAUAGCUCACUGGUCGAGUCGGCCUGCGCGGAAGAUGUAACGGGGCUAAACCAUGCACCGAAGCUGCGGCAGCGACACUAUGUGUUGUUGGGUAGGGGAGCGUUCUGUAAGCCGUUGAAGGUGGCCUGUGAGGGUUGCUGGAGGUAUCAGAAGUGCGAAUGCUGACAUAAGUAACGAUAAUGCGGGUGAAAAACCCGCACGCCGGAAGACCAAGGGUUCCUGUCCAACGUUAAUCGGGGCAGGGUGAGUCGACCCCUAAGGCGAGGCCGAAAGGCGUAGUCGAUGGGAAACAGGUUAAUAUUCCUGUACUCGGUGUUACUGCGAAGGGGGGACGGAGAAGGCUAUGUUGGCCGGGCGACGGUUGUCCCGGUUUAAGCAUGUAGGCGGAUGUUCCAGGUAAAUCCGGAACGUUAUUAACGCUGAGGUGUGAUGACGAGGCACUACGGUGCUGAAGUGACAAAUGCCCUGCUUCCAGGAAAAGCCUCUAAGCAUCAGGUAACAUCAAAUCGUACCCCAAACCGACACAGGUGGUCAGGUAGAGAAUACCAAGGCGCUUGAGAGAACUCGGGUGAAGGAACUAGGCAAAAUGGUGCCGUAACUUCGGGAGAAGGCACGCUGAUGGUAGGUGAAGUGACUUGCUCAUGGAGCUGAAAUCAGUCGAAGAUACCAGCUGGCUGCAACUGUUUAUUAAAAACACAGCACUGUGCAAACACGAAAGUGGACGUAUACGGUGUGACGCCUGCCCGGUGCCGGAAGGUUAAUUGAUGGGGUUAUCCGUAAGGAGAAGCUCUUGAUCGAAGCCCCGGUAAACGGCGGCCGUAACUAUAACGGUCCUAAGGUAGCGAAAUUCCUUGUCGGGUAAGUUCCGACCUGCACGAAUGGCGUAAUGAUGGCCAGGCUGUCUCCACCCGAGACUCAGUGAAAUUGAACUCGCUGUGAAGAUGCAGUGUACCCGCGGCAAGACGGAAAGACCCCGUGAACCUUUACUAUAGCUUGACACUGAACACUGGUCCUUGAUGUGUAGGAUAGGUGGGAGGCUUUGAAGUGUGGACGCCAGUCUGCAUGGAGCCAUCCUUGAAAUACCACCCUUUAAUGGCUGGUGUUCUAACGUGGGCCCCUGAUCGGGGUUGCGGACAGUGUCUGGUGGGUAGUUUGACUGGGGCGGUCUCCUCCUAAAGAGUAACGGAGGAGCACGAAGGUCAGCUAAUCCUGGUCGGACAUCAGGAGGUUAGUGCAAUGGCAUAAGCUGGCUUGACUGCGAGCGUGACGGCGCGAGCAGGUGCGAAAGCAGGUCAUAGUGAUCCGGUGGUUCUGAAUGGAAGGGCCAUCGCUCAACGGAUAAAAGGUACUCCGGGGAUAACAGGCUGAUACCGCCCAAGAGUUCAUAUCGACGGCGGUGUUUGGCACCUCGAUGUCGGCUCAUCACAUCCUGGGGCUGAAGUAGGUCCCAAGGGUAUGGCUGUUCGCCAUUUAAAGUGGUACGCGAGCUGGGUUUAGAACGUCGUGAGACAGUUCGGUCCCUAUCUGCCGUGGGCGCUGGAGAAUUGAGGGGGGCUGCUCCUAGUACGAGAGGACCGGAGUGGACGCAUCACUGGUGUUCGGGUUGUCAUGCCAAUGGCAUUGCCCGGUAGCUAAAUGCGGAAGAGAUAAGUGCUGAAAGCAUCUAAGCACGAAACUUGCCCCGAGAUGAGUUCUCCCUGACUCCUUGAGAGUCCUGAAGGAACGUUGAAGACGACGACGUUGAUAGGCCGGGUGUGUAAGCGCAGCGAUGCGUUGAGCUAACCGGUACUAAUGAACCGUGAGGCUUAACCUUACAACGCCGAAG
rnacentral:rRNA from 1 species